rnacentral:rRNA from 1 species
AGAACGAACGCUGGCGGCAUGCCUAACACAUGCAAGUCGAACGAGACCUUCGGGUCUAGUGGCGCACGGGUGCGUAACGCGUGGGAACCUGCCUUUAGGUUCGGAAUAACUCAGAGAAAUUUGAGCUAAUACCGGAUAAUGUCUUCGGACCAAAGAUUUAUCGCCUUUAGAUGGGCCCGCGUAGGAUUAGCUUGUUGGUGGGGUAAUGGCCUACCAAGGCGACGAUCCUUAGCUGGUCUGAGAGGAUGAUCAGCCACACUGGGACUGAGACACGGCCCAGACUCCUACGGGAGGCAGCAGUGGGGAAUAUUGGACAAUGGGCGAAAGCCUGAUCCAGCAAUGCCGCGUGAGUGAUGAAGGCCUUAGGGUGUAAAGCUCUUUACCCGGGAUGAUAAUGACAGUACCGGAGAAUAAGCUCCGGCUAACUCCGUGCCAGCAGCCGC